UACACUUUAGCAUAAGAUGUGCAUUAACUUUUGAUGUUAAGGGAAAUGGUUUGAUACCAUUAGGUGUAA
rnacentral:tRNA from 1 species